rnacentral:rRNA from 1 species
UACUGCUCAGUAACACGUCGAUAAUCUGCCCUUAGNCCAGGGAUAACCUUGGGAAACUGAGGCUAAGACCUGAUAGGAGAAUUCUACUGGAAUGUGUUUUCUCCCAAAGGCAACACCUAAGGAUGAGUUGGCGGCGGAUUAGCUUGUUGGUGGGGUAAUGGCCCACCAAGGCAUUGAUCCGUAGGGGCCUUGGAGGAGGUAGCCCCGAGAAGGGUACUGAGAUACUGACCCUAGCCCCACGGGGUGCAGCAGGCGCGAAACCUUUACACUACACGAAAGUGUGAUAAGGGGAUUCCGAGUGCCUAUACACAGUAUAGGCUUUUUUUAAGAGCAAAAUUCUUAAAGAAUAAGUGGUGGGUAAGACCGGUGCCAGCAGCCGCGGUAAUCCCGGCGCCACAAGUAGGGACCAUGAUUAUUGGGCCUAAAGCGUUCGUAGCAGGUUUUGUAAAUCUCUUGUGAAAUCGUUAGGCUCAACUUAACGGCGUGCAGGAGACACUGCAAAACUAGAGACCGGGAGGGGUUAGAGGUAUUCCUUGGGGAGCGGUAAAAUGCUAUAAUCCUUGGAAGACCACCUGUGGCGAAGGCGUCUAACCAGAACGGGUCUGACUGUGAGGGACGAAAGCCAGGGGAUCAAUCCGGAUUAGAUA